rnacentral:lncRNA from 1 species
CCUUUGCUUUUUCCUCAUUCUCUCCUUCUUCACUAGCGUCCAACCCAUCUCACGUCCUCCCUCUCUCACGCCAACCGGCCCCUUUCUCUUUUUCCUCAUUCCUUUUUAUUUUUAUUUUUCUGCCCCCACUCUCCAUUCAUGCCAACAACAUCAGAACUCCACCAAGCUACCACCUUGCAUCAACCACCAACAGAACAGUCCACCCCUCACAUCCAGAACUCCUCCUAGCGGCCAAGACAAUUGCAUUUUCUCGCCACCAGUCCGUCCGUCAAUCCAACUUCGGCCAACACCCAAACUGCCUGCAUCUGCUUCCACCAGCUCGCUCCUAGUUGUGUCCAACUUGCCUCAGCUAAGCUCGGCCAGCUUCCUCCACAGAACUGAGCAAAGCAGAAUUCCAGACAAGCCGUGAGGCUUGCGAGGCUGUUUUCAGCGUCAUUCGGGCCUCCUUUAGAGCCGCUGUAGACACGGGAUCUCACCGCCAUCGCACUACCGUCGCCGUGGACCCAUUUAUUUGCUAAUCCUGUGAGUUUACUCCCUAAUCCUUGAUUAGAUUGUUAAUUACAUUUAGGAUGUUAGAUUAGUGUUAAUUAGCUUAGUUAGAUUAGUACUAAGUGAGAUUAGUCUUAAGAUGGAUUAGUGCUAAUCUAGAAUGGUUAGAUUAGCCUUAAGAUAGAUUAGUGUAGAUCUAAUUGGUGAGAUUAGCACUAAUGAGGAGAGAUUAGUCCAAUUCAGUGGAUUUUUCCUCAAAUCUCGUUUCUGGACUCGCCAUUUGCCAUUUUUGUGGAUCGAAUUGUGCUGAAAUUUUGAGGUUUAUUUCUUCUUGAAAAAUGUUUUAGAUAUCCUCAGAUAUACUAUAUAUUUUUUCCAAGAUUUUUAUGGAUUUACAAGAACAGGAUUUUAGCUUUGUCAUUUGCAAACAGAACUCCUGUUUUUACUGGAACUAUGACCUUUCAGGAUUCAAGGAAUUUUUAUCAACUCUUAGGGUUCGAAUUUAAAAAUAUUUUUUUCAUGAAAGUUGUUUGUCACUUCUUUUAGUUUAACAUAUUAAAAUUUCAGAUCAAAUGAACAAGUUUUGUAUCUCAAACCAAACUAAUUUUGGAAAACAGACUUUCUGGAAACGGACCCAGUUUUUGUACUGGAUUGAGCGAUUUACUGGGCAAAAUCUAGAAAGAUCUGGGUUAAGGUGUUUUCAUGAAAAUUUUCUUUUAUAUGUUCUUUAUAACAUAUUAAAAUUUGAGAAUUUUCUGAACUCGUUUGAUUAGGUUUUUAGAUUUAAACAUGGAAAUGCAUGAGCGGACGAUUUUUGCUGAUUAGGAUCGGUAGUAAUUUGUAAUUGUUCUUGAUGCUUUCCUUGCUAGAAAUUGCAUAUUUGGUGAUGUGGUUGACCUGUGUUAUGCUUGGAACUUGUGCGUGAUGAAACGUGAAUAAUUGUGCUAUGGUAAUGGUUUAUGGUCUUGGCAAAGGAUGGCCAUUGAAGAGCAAUAUGUGUUUAUGUGAUUAUGUGAUGGCCAUUGAAAGAUGAGGUGACAUAUAUUGUGCUGAGGAAACCAAAUAGGGUGUGAGCUAGUAAAGAAUUAAGUGUUACACGACAACGAAACCUCGUAUGAGCCACCUCUAGAAACUUGUACUGUUGCUUAUUGCAAUCAAGGGCUAGGUGCUACAUGGCAACUUGAGUCACAUGUGAGUCACCCAUAGAAGCCUUGCAAUACUAUCAAGCAUAGUAAAAGGCUAAGUGCUACACGAUAACUAAAUUUCAUGUGAGUCGCCUCUAAAACCUUGUACUAGUGCUAUUUGUAGUCAAGAACUAAGUGCCACAUGAUAACAAAACUCCGUGGGGGAGCAUCUCUAGAACCUUGAGUUUGAAUAUGGAGUUUGGAUAUUGAGAGUGAAUAUCGGGUGUGGAUUGAACCAUCGAUAUGAGUUAUCCGUGCCUGAUUAUGGAACGAAAUUAUGUGACACGGAAUGAGACGUGUCAUAAUGGUUUGGCUUUAUAAUCGGGACCCUUGUGAAUUAUUCGAUGAGUGAUAUAAUGUGUUACAACUAUUGAAUGCAUUUACUAUAUGCAUGUGUUUUAUGAGAUGCACUAGUGUGCAGGAAGGUGCUAAGACAAAGUAAGUUCUGAGUGGUGUAUGUUUAGGACGCUUCCAAGUGAAUUCUUGUCCUCAUCGGGGUUUAGAGUGUUGACUCACUGAGAUUUAUUCUCAUCCCAUCAUGAUUUACAAUUUUCAGGUCCUUAGUCUAGAAAUACUAGAGGGUGUCGUGGAGAAUCCCGAGCUAGAGUCGAAGGGAUCAGGAGUAGAGGUUGUCCGGUAGUUCUUUUAGGGCAGACUUAGGGUACAAACUUGUAGGACUGACUUGAAUUGUAUAUAAAGCGUGAUUGGUGAAAUUUGGUUGUCCUGCUUUUCUAUCCCAUGUUUGUUGUUGUCCGGGUAUAUGUUACGAGUUCGUUUCCGUAUGUGCAAUAAAAUGAUUGGGUUAGCAACGCAUCCUGGGAACAUCAUAGUUCUAUUAACCACUGAGGGAUGUUUGCACGCUCAGGGUUCGGGACGUGACACCACAGCAAUUGCAAUGAUCUUUAGUCCAAUGGUCAUCCAGUGACACUAGCAAGUCCAGUCCAGUGAGGCCCGCUGUUGCGCUCUUAUCAUGCCUCACGGCAUCCAAUUGUGCCAAGCUCUUCAUUGAUGCUUCAAACCAGUCCACCAGCCACCAUAGCCUUCUUGGAGGCUCUCCGUUAGUGACCAAGGCUACCACUGGCGAGCGUAGAUAUCUCAUGUAUCUUCUCUAAUAUUGCUUGUUUUAUUUGAAGGAAAUUCUGGGCUGAGUUUAAGACCACCUUUGGUCAACAUAGACGGGCACAGAGUCAUGGGAAAUUUAAUUUAAUGCACGAUCACACGAAACACAGAGUAACGCGAGUGACGAAAGAGAAAGGAAGAGAAAGGGAUUGCGGUCAAGACCCUCCUCGCAUACGCAGCGCUUUGUCGACCCCAAAUCCCUUGCGGAGAAUCCUGCUACUGUCCUUCCAUCAUCUACAGCCACUCUCGGUGUCUCCUUGCACCAGUUUCCUUUAUAGCCACUGCUGCUCAAACCAUGCGAACUUCCUAGCGAGCCACGAAAUUCACAUUUUUAUGGCAACAAAUUGAAGAAUUC